rnacentral:tRNA from 1 species
UUAGAAGGACAGGGCUCGAACCCGCACCUAGAGGCUCAAAACCUCCAGCACUCCAUUGUGCUACCAUCUA